AUUGAACGCUGGCGGCAGGCCUAACACGUGCAAGUCGAACGAGUGGCGGACGGGUGAGUAAAGUCUGGGAAACUGCCUGAUGGAGGGGGAUAAAUACUGGAAACGGUAGCUAAUACCGCAUACCAUCGGAUGUGCCCAGAUGGGAUUAGCUAGUAGGUGGGGUAAAGGCUCACCUAGGCGACGAUCCCUAGCUGGUCUGAGAGGAUGACGCGCCACAGUGCAACGAGGACAGGGUGCAGACGCCUAACGGAGGCAGUGGGGGGGAACAUUGGACAAGGGGCACUAGCGUGAAGCAGCCAGUCCGCGUGAAUGAAGAGGGCCUUCGGGUUGUAAAGUAUGUUCAGCGGGGAGGCGUUACCCGAAGAAGAAGCACCGGCUAACUCCGUGCCAGCAGCCGCGGUAAUAC
rnacentral:rRNA from 1 species